UCAGAAUGUGAACACAUAAUGAAAAUGAUGCCAUCAUGAAGGGCUCGACGAGACGUGGGCGUUGGUUCCACCUGAUCGGAGAUACGAGCGAAAAGUUAUAGCCGUUUGAAGUCCAGGGACCAAUCUUUAAAUAAGAUAUUCACAACCAAUCUUUAAAUAAGAUAUUCACAAACAGGACCCUCGGGGCUGACCCGAAAGCGCACUCAGCCGAAAUACGUUUUCCGAAAAGAAAAACGUAAACUUAGCCGCGGUAACAGGAAAUACGCUUUCUCAAGCGCAUUUACCGCAGUGCGCUUCCACUUAAACAGCAUUUACCGCAGUGCGCUUCUACUUAAACAACACGGCCCCGAGCCCGGUCGUCAGCCACUGUACCCCCUCGCCGGGUCGCUUACACGCGGUCCUCACCCCAC
rnacentral:lncRNA from 1 species